rnacentral:tRNA from 1 species
GAUAAUAUAGUUUAAUUUUAAAAUUCCUAUCUUACACGUAGGGGAUGAAAGAAUAUUCUGUUAUCA